ACGGGUGAGUAAUACAUCGGAACGUAUCCUGGAGUGGGGGAUAGCCCGGCGAAAGCCGGAUUAAUACCGCAUACGCUCUGAGGAGGAAAGCGGGGGACCUUCGGGCCUCGCGCUCAAGGGGCGGCCGAUGGCGGAUUAGGUAGUUGGUGGGGUAAAGGCCUACCAAGCCGACGAUCCGUAGCUGGUCUGAGAGGACGACCAGCCACACUGGGACUGAGACACGGCCCAGACUCCUACGGGAGGCAGCAGUGGGGAAUUUUGGACAAUGGGGGCAACCCUGAUCCAGCAAUGCCGCGUGUGUGAAGAAGGCCUUCGGGUUGUAAAGCACUUUUGUCCGGAAAGAAAUCAUCGGGGCCAAUACCCCUGGUGGAUGACGGUACCGGAAGAAUAAGCACCGGCUAACUACGUGCCAGCAGCCGCGGUAAUACGUAGGGUGCGAGCGUUAAUCGGAAUUACUGGGCGUAAAGCGUGCGCAGGCGGUGCUGUAAGACCGAUGUGAAAUCCCCGGGCUUAACCUGGGAACUGCACUGGUGACUGCAGCGCUGGAGUAUGGCAGAGGGGGGUGGAAUUCCACGU
rnacentral:rRNA from 1 species